rnacentral:lncRNA from 1 species
ACCUUCCAGCAUGAGGCAGCUUUGCACAAUGAUGGUAUGGCGUGCGGGUAGGUUAGUGAGGGAAGUACUGCCUGUUCUCCCGCCAGAUCCCAGCACUCUCAGAGGCUGAGGGUUCUAGGAAUUCAUGGUGAGUUAAGUAGCUGCGGUGAGGAACUAGCUCAGCAGGGCCUGGGGCAACGUGCAUUAGAGGUAACCUUCGCAGGAAGCGGAAGGGCUGACAUCUGGGUCACAUGCAGAGAAUGUAGAUAAUGUGCACUAUGUAAUAAAUGUCCAUGCCUCUUCCCUCCCCAUUCCAUGCCAGGGUUAAAGACGGAACACAAUUACACUUCUUGGUUGGGUUGGGAGGACGCACUGUUCAUUCAUUGUAUCAGGUCUUCCUCCUCCUAAACUUGGGCCCUGCUUGGAGAUACGCUCCAUCAAAGCACUUGCCCACUACUAGCCUGCCCUGCUUUUAUUCCCUAUCAGCAAUAGAGUUUGGAUCACUUAGAACGAAAAGCAACAGGAGGACAAUGGAUCCAGGAGGCCUCUUAACUGCACAUGUGCUGCCUGGCCUCGAGGAGACAGGAUGGAGAGGUACCUUCUUUUUAGCCCUUUAGACUUUAUUGGCCUAGAUAUCUACCAGGUGAGGUCAGAUGUGAUCCUGGAUUUUAUAAAACUCAGACCUUGGUAACUGUGGUAAAAGCAACACAGCCAAUUUUUAGCUGGGGAGGCAGGAGUGAGUCGGUGGAAGGGCUUGGUAAGCAAGGUAAAGAACAGGAGGUACAGAGACCAACCCCCACCACCCAACCACCUGUCAGAAAACACAGAGAAGACAUUUGCCUGCCUUUCAAGCUUUGCCAAGGAUACAGGGACUUGCUUCCUCCAGAUUAGUCACAAUCCAGGAGACUAUAGCAACUGCUUGGUCUUUUCCUGGUCCAAGUGUGAACUUUCCAACCUGAUAGUCUAAGUAUUUUCCUCUGGCUCGCAAAUCUCGGAGGAGCAAAUCCAAAACUGACUUCCUGUAGGUCUUGAUAAAUUGUUACAGAAGUACUGGAGGAUGCUUUCUAUACCCAUGUUUCUAAAUCUGGUUAUUUUCUUUCAAAGCCUCCAUCUCCUACCACUCCCUCCCCCCAUUUCAUUUCCCUUCUAUUCCUUCUCAAGCAAGAUGUAUUGUCUUAAACAAAUUGUCUAACAAUGGAAUUUCACCUUUUCUCCCCAACUGAAGCAUCUUUCAGGGCAGGUUC